rnacentral:rRNA from 1 species
GAUGAACGCUGGCGGCGUGCCUAAUACAUGCAAGUCGAGCGAACAGACGAGGAGCUUGCUCCCCUGACGUUAGCGGCGGACGGGUGAGUAACACGUGGAUAACCUACCUAUAAGACUGGGAUAACUUCGGGAAACCGGAGCUAAUACCGGAUAAUAUAUUGAACCGCAUGGUUCAAUAGUGAAAGACGGUUUUGCUGUCACUUAUAGAUGGAUCCGCACCGCAUUAGCUAGUUGGUAAGGUAACGGCUUACCAAGGCAACGAUGCGUAGCCGACCUGAGAGGGUGAUCGGCCACACUGGAACUGAGACACGGUCCAGACUCCUACGGGAGGCAGCAGUAGGGAAUCUUCCGCAAUGGGCGAAAGCCUGACGGAGCAACGCCGCGUGAGUGAUGAAGGUCUUCGGAUCGUAAAACUCUGUUAUUAGGGAAGAACAAAUGUGUAAGUAACUAUGCACGUCUUGACGGUACCUAAUCAGAAAGACACGGCUAACUACGUG